rnacentral:tRNA from 1 species
GGCUGUAGCUCAGAAGGUAGAGCAACGGACUUUUAAUCCGUAGGUCGUGGGUUCGAGUCCCACCAGCCUCA